AGGAUAAACGCUGGCGGCGUGCCUAACACAUGCAAGUCGAACGCGCUUUCGGGCUUCGGUGCGAGAGCGAGUGGCGGACGGGUGAGUAACACAUGGGUACCUGCCUUUCAGUGAGGGAUACCGGCGAGAAAUCGCCGACAAUACCGCAUGGGCUUGUGGGAACACAAGCAAAGUGGCGCAAGCCACGCUGGAAGAUGGGCCUGUGGCCGAUUAGCUAGUUGGGGGGGUAAUGGCCUCCCAAGGCGACGAUCGGUAGCUGGUCUGAGAGGACGAUCAGCCACACUGGGAUUGAGAACGGCCCAGACUCCUACGGGGGGCAGCAGUGAGGAAUUUUUCCGCAAUGGACGAAAGUCUGACGGAGCAACGCCGCGUGCAGGAGGAAGGUUUUCGGAUCGUAAACUGCUUUUCUCGGGGACGAGCAAGGACGGUACCCGAGGAAGAAGCCCCGGCUAACUACGCGCCAGCAGCCGC
rnacentral:rRNA from 1 species